AUUCAGUACAAAGGGCAAGAGCGAGAGUGAGGGCUAGAAGAAUAGAAACAGAGACGCAUUUACAGAGUCUCUUAGUCUGACGCCUAUCACAGGACAGGAUGGAGAUGAACAUGGUCGCUGCUCUCUGCUGUGUUGCUGUGUACUUUGCCACCAUCUGUGCAUCCACUCCACCCAUUCUGAAUUGUCGCUGUACAAAAGUGACAGAGACACUGAGAAAGAUUAAGCAUCUCCAGAAUUUACAUAAUUACACAGAGGAACCUCCAUUGUGUUUCCCCAAGGCUAUAAGCUUUCAUACUGAGAAGGGAAAAAUCAUAUGUUCAGAUCCAGGGUCAUUUUGGACUCAGAAAGCCAUGAAAUACCUUGAUGGGAUAGGAAUAAAAACAACUACACCCUCAAU